rnacentral:rRNA from 1 species
UACGUAGGGUGCGAGCGUUAAUCGGAAUUACUGGGCGUAAAGCGUGCGCAGGCGGUUUUGUAAGCCAGAUGUGAAAUCCCCGGGCUUAACCUGGGAAUGGCAUUUGGGACUGCAAGGCUUGAGUGCGGCAGAGGAGACUGGAAUUCCCGGUGUAGCAGUGAAAUGCGUAGAUAUCGGGAGGAACAUCAGUGGCGAAGGCGGCCUUCUGGUCCAGUACUGACACUCAAGUGCGAAAGCGUGGGGAGCAAACAGG